CCUUCCUUCCCCAACAUUACCACAUUGAAGUUGGCUUCUUGCAACUUAAUGAAAUUCCCUGAUUUCUUGAAAGAUCAGAAUAGAUUAGUCUAUCUAGACCUUUCAAACAACAAUAUCCAUGGGGAAAUACCCAAAUGGAUUUGGGAAGCCAGAGGUCUUCUUCACCUAAAUCUUUCUCAGAACUUUCUUGUAGAAUUCGAAGGACCUUUGCAGAAUAUAACUUCUACUCUUAGUGUUCUUGACCUUCAUGGCAACCAGUUGCAAGGGAAAUUUUCAUUUUUUCCGCAAGAUGCCACCUAUCUGGAUUACUCAAACAACAAUUUCAGCUCUGAUUUACCAGCUGAGAUUGGAGACUACCUAAAUUUCGCUUAUUUCUUCUCUCUCUCGAGUAAUAAUUUUCAAGGGAGUAUCCCCAGUUCAAUAUGCAACAGUACAUAUCUUCAAGUACUUGAUCUGUCUAAUAAUUCCCUGAGUGGUGGAAUUCCUGAAUGCCUGACACAUUUCAGUAUGUCUCUUGGGGUGCUGAAUCUAAGGAGAAACAAUCUCAGUGGUGUCAUUUCUGAUACAUUUCCGCAAGACUGUGGGUUGCAAACUCUAGAUCUAAAUCGAAAUUUGCUGCAAGGAAAGGUUCCAAAAUCCUUGGCCAACUGCAAAAUGCUGGAGGUUUUAGACCUUGGAAACAAUCAGAUCAAUGAUACGUUCCCAUGUCAUUUGAAGAAUAUAUCCAGGUUGCGUGUCCUUGUCUUACGAGCCAAUAAAUUUAAUGGGAACAUUCAUUGUCCUGAGAAAAGCCCCUGGCCUGUGCUUCAGAUUGUUGACUUAGCUUCCAACAGUUUUAGUGGUAGACUGCAUUACACAUGCUUGUUGACCUGGAAGGCCAUGCAGACUGUCGAAGAUGAAGCGCAAUCAAAGCUCAAACAUCUUCAGUUUGAAAUCCUACAACUCAAUCCAUAUUACUAUAAGGAUGCAAUAACAGUUACCAUGAAAGGCUUAGAGUUGGAGCUGCUCAAGAUCCUAACAGUGUUCACCUCCAUUGACAUUUCAUGCAACAACUUUGAAGGGCCAAUACCAGAAGUGAUCGGAUCAUUCAAAGCACUUUAUGUCCUUAACCUUUCGCAUAAUGCUUUCACAGGGUCAAUCCCAUCAGUUUUAGGAAACCUGAGACAACUUGAGUCCUUGGACCUCUCAAGUAACAACUUUCAUGGUGAGAUCCCAUUCCAGCUAGCAAACCUCAAUUUCCUUGCAUUUCUAAAUGUCUCAAACAAUAAGCUAAUGGGACGGAUCCCGACAACUACCCUGCUUCAAUCAUUUGCAAAAGCUUCUUUUGAAAACAAUGCUGGAUUAUGUGGACCUCCUUUAAAGAGAAAAUGCCAAUUGCCACCAGCUAUCAAACAGAGCUCUUUCGAUUCUAGGACUAGGAGCCACAUCCACUGGAAUUUUAUAAGUGCUGAGAUAGGUUUUUUCUUUGGGUUUGGAAUUGUCAUUACGCCACUAAUCUUUUGGAAGAGAUGGAGGAUAUGGUAUUAUAAGCGCAUUGAUCUUGCUCUUAUCAGGCUUCUACCUUGGCUGGUUCUUGAAAUCAGAAAGCAUGGGAGUAGAGCUAACUGGAACCAAAGGAGGAGGCUCUAGCAACAAUUGCAGGAAUUGAGUGAAAAGAAAUUUGUAUUUUCCAUUUUCUGGCUUCUAUUUCACCUGUAUGCUUUUUUUGCCGCUUCUCUUUCCACCCUUUGCUUUCCUUGUAAAAGGUUUAUCCUGGUUCUUUUGAAACAAAUCGACUUAUUCCCAAAAAAAAAAAAAGGUCGCGUUCCAGCUACUUGUUCGGAGCUAGCAUUCUUUCGGUUUUAGCAAAUACAAAAUAGCUUCACUUAUCUAGCUGAUCACUUGCACGAUUGCAUUAAUGGCAGAACGCUCAUCACUUGGACAACUUAUCCAGAAUGACACUAGUGACUGAAGCUAAAAGUUAAUCUAAUACAUGCCUGAUAAUAAUUUAGUUUCACCUGAUCUUAUCUUGUUUGGAGGUUUGCUACAUAAUAAAAAUGAUACAGACUCCAACCACUUAGAUUGGAUGAUUCACCUAAACCUUAUCGAUCGCCUCUCCAUUGUGAAAAUUUGUCAUCUAUUUUGCGUUAUGUCAAAUCUGAAAUAACUUGUAUUCAGAGCACCCAUAAUCAUAAGAUGAAGCUUUUGCUUAAAAAGUUUUACUAGUAAUUCGUAAGACAGAUUUUUCCUCCACAUGAUAAGGGAAGAAGGGCCGAUAGAUUUCAGAAGGGAAGUUAUUGUAAUGGUGGAGUAGUAAAUUAUACUGUCGUAAACAAUGCAAGUAACAGUCUCGCUUGUAAACUUUGCAUUAGCAAUUAAUAGUAUAGCUUUUCCAAUAUAUAGUCCUGAUUUCCACAUGAUACAUUAGAAAUUUUCAAAAUAAAAUAUGAGAAUAUUGAAAAAUAAAUAAAUAAAAUAAUCGUUUAAAUUAAGAGGAGUAGAAGUCCAUAGGUAAUGGAUUUAAUUUGGUAAUGGACCAUGAGCUUGAAUUUUCAAGCUUGGCAGGUCUUAUAUUAAUUAAAUAAUUAAUAUUAGUAUUUAAUUAAUGCCAUUUGACAUUUAGUACUUGGCAUAAUAAAUAAAAUAAUAAUUUUUUAUUAAUUAAUUGUUUAAUUAAUUAAGUCUGUCCAAAAUAGAUAAACAAUUAACUCUAUCCAAAAUAGACAGACAAAUAAAAACAAAUAAUUUAUACAAAAUAAACAGAUAAAUCUAUUUAAAAUAAAUAAUUUUUAGCUGUUAAUUUGUUUAUUCAAAAUAGACAAUUAUAUUUGUAAAAUAAAUAUAUAUUUAAUUUGUUAUAUAAGCUCCUUUAGUUUUAUGAGAAAAUACAAAAACAAUUCUCAAAACUCUCCUUUUUUCAAUAAACUUUAGAUUUUUUGUUAUAAAGUUUUGCUAUAGAAAACUUCAUAAAAGUUUGUUGAUCUUGUAAUAAGUCGAUAUAUACUCAGUAGAUUGAUUUCGUCAAUAUAAAAUACAAUUAGUCAUUAAACUUCAUUGUAUCUUCAAAGUUUAUUGCCUACAACUCCUUUGCAAACUUAUUAUGUAAAUAAUACAAUGAAGGCGAAUAAAACAUUCAAAAAAUGACACCAUUAUACACCUUGAAAUUUUUUCUCGAAAUUUUAAAUUUACCAGAAACAGUAAUUCUAGAUUUAUAAUUUUGUUCUAUCAGAUUACACCUUUCAUGAUCAAUCCUAAUUUAACUUUUUGGUUCCUUAAUUAGUUCAUCUACAGCAAUGCAGUGAAGGAGUGGUAAGGCUUCCUGAGUAAGACUUAGUUUUAGGCGCCUCUGCCUGUUCAGUGCUAAAGACCUAAAUGAAUGGCAUCUUACUGAUGAAAUGCCAUGCCCUCAGACGCAAUGUGCUUUUAUAUGGAUUUUAUUCCAGCAGGCUAACUUACCAGAAUUUCAAGCAUUAUGCAUAUGAUUUGCCAUGAUCUAAACGAUUUCUUGAAUUAUUUGAUAUUGUUAACAUUUCUAACCUAGAUCAGGCCAAUCAAAAUCUAAAUUGGUCUUUUUUUCAAUUUUUUAGGCUAUAAUUAGGGUUUGAAUCAGAGAUCUUCAGUCUUUAAACCUAGCACCACUGAGCUAACAUUUCAAUGGCGGUUCAUCCUAUUUAACUCUUGAAUUAUCAUACCAAUACCAUGCAGUAGUCCGAUGUGGUCAUUUAACGGAGGAUUUAUCCCUCUAAUAAGUAAAGUCUUAAGCAUAGCAAGAAAGAGAGCAAAGUCAAUAAUUUAGGCAUAUAGUCAGUGACCAAAGUCUAUGGAAUUCCGCAUUCCUUCACUGCAGAAAAUUCUUCUUUCACAAAAUCAAUUCAGUGGUCACCUCCGGCUUGGUGACCUCCAUGGUGAGGCCUCUUUACUAGAUACUCUUGAUCUUAGUAGCAAUAAGUUACAAGGGCCACUUCCGGGGUCUGUAUUUGAACUUCAAGGUCUCAAGAUACUGUCACUUGCUUCAAACAACUUCAGUGGCAUUAUACCGCUGAGUGCCAUUCAGAACCUGAGAAAUAUUUUCAGCCUUGAUCUCUCCCAUAACCAGUUGUCUAUUAAUGCCAAUGCUACUAAUCCUUCCUUGCCUUCCUUCCCCAACGUUACCAAAUUGAAUUUGGCUUCUUGCAAUUUGAUGAUAUUCCCUGAUUUCUUGAAAAAUCAGUAUAGAUUAGUCUAUCUAGACCUUUCAAACAACAAUAUCCAUGGAGAAAUACCCAAAUGGAUUUGGGAAGCCAGAGGUCUUCAUCACCUAAAUCUUGCUCAGAACUUUCUUGUAGAAUUCGAAGGACCUUUGCAGAAUAUAACUUCUACUCUUACUGUUCUUGACCUUCAUGGCAACCAGUUGCAAGGGAAAAUUCCAUUUUUUCCGCAAGAUGCCACCUAUCUGGAUUACUCAAACAACAAUUUCAGCUCUGAUUUACCAGCUGAGAUUGGAGACUACCUAAAUUUCGCUUAUUUCUUCUCUCUCUCGAGUAAUAAUUUUCAAGGGAGUAUCCCCAGUUCAAUAUGCAACAGUACAUAUCUUCAAGUACUUGAUCUGUCUAAUAAUUCCCUGAGUGGUGGAAUUCCUGAAUGCCUGACACAUUUCAGUAUGUCUCUUGGGGUGCUGAAUCUAAGGAGAAACAAUCUCAGUGGUGUCAUUUCUGAUACAUUUCCGCAAGACUGUGGGUUACAAACUCUAGAUCUAAAUCGAAACUUACUGCAAGGAAAGGUUCCAAAAUCCUUGGCCAAUUGCAAAAUGCUGGAGGUUUUAGACCUUGGAGACAAUCAGAUCAAUGAUACGUUCCCAUGUCAUUUGAAGAAUAUAUCCAGGUUGCGUGUCGUUGUUUUACGAGCCAAUAAAUUUAAUGGGAACAUUCAUUGUCCUGAGAAGAGCCCCUGGCCUAUGCUUCAGAUUAUUGACUUAGCUUCCAACAGUUUUAGUGGUAGAUUGCAUCAAGAAUUCUUGUUGACCUGGAAGGCCAUGCAGGCUGUCGAAGAUGAAGCGCAAUCACAGCUCAAACAUAUCUACUUUGAAGUCCUGCAACUCAAUCCAUAUUACUAUCAGGAUGCAAUAACAGUUACCAUCAAAGGCUUAGAGUUGGAGCUGCUGAAGAUCCUAACAGUGUUCACCUCCAUUGACAUUUCAUGCAACAAAUUUCAGGGGCCAAUUCCAGAAGUGAUCGGAACAUUCAAAGCACUUUAUGUCCUUAACCUUUCUCAUAAUGCUUUCACAGGGUCAAUCCCAUCAUUUUUAGGAAACCUGAGACAACUUGAGUCCUUGGACCUCUCAAGUAACAACUUUCAUGGUGAGAUCCCUCUCCAGCUGGUAAACCUUAAUUUCCUUGCAUUUCUAAACGUCUCAAACAAUAAGCUAGUGGGAAUGAUCCCAACGAGUACCCAGCUUCAAUCAUUUUCAGAAGCUUCUUUUGAAAACAAUGCUGGAUUAUGUGGACCUCCUUUAAACACAGAAUGCCAAUUGCCACCAGCUACUAAAGACAACUCUUCCGAAUGUGGGACUGGGAGCCACAUCAACUGGAAUGUUAUAGCUGCUGAGACAGGUUUUUUCUUUGGGUUUGGAAUUGUCAUUACACCAUUAAUCUUUUGGAAGAGAUGGAGGAUAUGGUAUUUUAAGCGCAUUGAUCGUGCUCUUAUUAGGCUUCUACCUUGGCUGGUUCUUGAAGUCAGAAAGCAUGGGAGGAGAGCUAACUGGAACCAGAGGAGGAGGCUCUAGCAACAAUUGCAGGAAUUGAGUGAAAAGAAUUUUAGAUAUCUCCUUUAUUGUAUUUUCUAGUUUCUGGCUUCUGUUUCACCUAUAUGCUUUUUUUUGCUGCUUCUCUUUCCACCCUUUGCUUUCCUUGUAAAAGUUUUAUCCUGGUUCUUUUGGAACAAAUUGAAUUAUGCCAAAAGAAAUGGGUUGCGUUCGAGCUAAGUUGUAUUCGAGGCUAGCAUUCUGUUGGUUUUAGGCAAAUAAAAGAUGCCUCCACUAGCUGAUCAUCCUUACACGAUUGCAUUAAUGACAGAACGCUCAUCAGUUGGACAACUUAUCCAAUAUGACACUUUUGACAGGAUCUAAAAAUUAAUCUAAUACAUGCCAGAUAAUAAUCAGUUUCACCUGUUCGUGUUUUUUUGAGGGUUUACUACAUAAUAAAAAUGAUUACUGAUUCCAACGACUUAGAUUGGACCAUUCACCAGAACCUUAUCGCCUCUCCGCUGUGAAAAACUGACAUCUAUUUUGCGCUAUGUCAAAUCCAUAAUAACUUUUAUUCAGAGAACCCAUAAUCAUAAGAUGAAACUUUUGCUUAAAAUGUUUUUUUAGUAAUUCGUAGCACAGAUUUUUCCUCCACGCGAUAAGGGAAGAAGGGCUGAUAGAUUUCGGAGGGACAUUAUUGCAAUGGUGGAGUAUCAAAUUAAACUCUGUUGUAGUAAACAGAGUCGUAGUCUCGCUUGUAAAUUUUGCAUUAGCAAGUAACAGUAUUGGUUUUCCAAUAUAUUGUCCUGAUUUCCAUACGUUACACCUUUCCCGAUCAAAAUCCUAAUUUAACUUUUUUUUUAUUUCGUUUCAAGGAGGGCUAAAGCCCUGUUACAAGGGGGAGGGAGGAAGCUUGGUUCGAAACCAAACAUUUAUCUCCCUAAAAGCUUCUGUGACCACUAGGCCAUGAAGUGGAAGACUAAUUGAACUUUUUUGUUCUUUAGUUUAUUUACUCAAAUGCAGUGCAAGAGUAGUAAAGAUUCGCGAGUGACUUUAUCUUCGGCACCUCUGACUAUUUCAGUGUAAGGCUGAAGGAAUGCAUCUUCCUGAUGGCAAUGCCAUGCCCUCAUACCAAUGUGCUUUUAUAUGGUAUUUAUUUCAGCAAGCAGCUUACCAGAAUUUCAAGCAUUUACAUAUGAUUUGCCAUGAUCUAAACGAUUACUUUAAAUUAUUUGAAUUGUUAAAUUUCUAACCCAGUUAGGCAAUUCAAAAUCUGGAUUCACCCUUUUUUUUUUUAAUUUUUAAGGCUAUAAUUGGAGUUAUAAUUUGAGAUCUUCAGUCUUGAAACUGAGUAACACUAAGCUACCAUUUCAUUGUUGGUUCAUCCUAUUUAACUCUUGAAUUAUCAUACCAAUACCAUGCAGUAGUCCGAUAAGGUCAUUUAACGGACGAUGUACUCGUCUAAUAAGUAUGUCUUAAGCAUAGCAAGAAAGAGUGCGAAGUCAAUAAUUUAAGAUAUAGCAAGUGCCAAAAGGUCUAUGGAAUUAAUUCAGGUUUCCGCCAAGACGUGGAAAAGCUCCGAAAAUGGACUGCUACUCUGAUAUGGACAUUCAACCAACCCUUGUAAUAGUGAUAAUGGCAUGGCUAGCAAUUUUCUUCUGCCGUUCCUCUGAUCAUGCUUGUCUUGCAGAAUAUAUUGCAGCAAUCGGUGCCAUAAUAAAGACGCUUUAUCCAAGGACCCAUGCAGAAUUUAUGUUAGUGGGGGCAAAAUUAUAACAUUGUUGAAGAAAACAGCCUAAGUUCCAAGAAAACUACAGUACAAAGAGGGGAACAUCAAGUUUCGCAUGUAUUUCACCAGAAAGACAAAUAUUUUUCUCGUAUUAGGACCAGCCAGUCUAAUAGGUGUGAGGAAACGCCGGCCCUGGUUGAGCAUUAUUUCUUAGAAAGGAAGGGCAUUUGUUCUCAUGGGACUGUUGAAAUUUGAACAUAGAUGUCAUUUUCUUUUAAGGCUCUAUGGAAGUUUACCGAGCCUCCACUAUCUUCCCCAUUAAGGAGUCCUUCUACCCCUUCAAUCUGCUGCUGCUGGAAUUUUUUGGUACGGUUCUCGACUUUCUUCUUUCUUAUCAUCAAUAGCUGGUACAAUCCCAUCAAAAUACUAUUCAUAAAGUAAAUUUUGAUUAAAAAAAUAAAAAAUUAAAUUCUAUUAAAAAUAAAACUAAAAGUUUUUUUAACAAAAAUUGAAAUAUAUCUAAAUAAUUUCAAAUCCAUUAUCUUGAUUUAUAAUUCUUCUUUUAUAAAAGUUCGAGAUUUUCAUGGAGUAAUUUAAAUAUUAAAAUCAAAAUAAAAUUCAAAUGAAAAAAUUUCAAACUAUAAAUGCAUUUUUCCUUGUUUCCCCUCAUUACCUUAUUUCUAGGCUUUGCUAAUAGAAUCCAAAAUCAUAUAUAACCAAAAAAACCCAAACCGAAUUAUGAAUUUUUUGGGCCAAAAAUCAAAUUAUGAAUGGGAAAACAUUUAAAUCCGCCAGAGAGCCAGGUUUGAUUUGGAGCAUAUAACUCCAAGGGUCCAAGGACUCCAAGUCAAAAAGACCUGUUAUAGUCGUAACAUCUAAAACCUAAAUCUAGUGACACUUGCUAAAAUUUAUUGGAGGAGGUCCAACUCCAAUACAACCCGGAAAAUGUGAUGGAAAUAGUCACUUAAAUUUCAUAGUCUUUUGUUUUGUCCCCGUUUUUUUAAUAUUUCAAAAUUAUGUUUUUUUAAUAUUUAAAAUUUUUAUUUUUUAUUUUUUAUAUUUUAAAAUUAUUUUUUUAUGAUUUUUUAUUUUUUGACAUUAAAAUUUUUGAAACUUUAAUUUUAUAAAAAAAUUUAAAAUUUUAAUAUUAAUCCCAUUAAUAUCAAAGUUUUUUUUUUAAUUCCAUAAAAGUCAAUACAUAACAAAUAUUUUAGAACGAAGGGAAUAAUAAAUUUAUUUGAGGUUGCUAAAAUAUUACUUCAUUGAUAAAAAUAAUUUGUAAAAAAAAUUUAGAAGAAAAGAAUUACUUAUAGAUAAUUUAAUAUACUUAUAAAUAAAUGAAAUUUUCAUAAAAUUAGAUAUUAAAACAAAGAUAUAAGAAAAUUAUAAUAUUUUAUUGGAUAUAAAUCAAAGAUUGAAAGUAUUUUUAUGAAUAUGUAUAUUUAAAUAUACUAGAGAAAGAUUAAAAAAUCCACAUAAAUAUUGUAAGCUAUAUAUAUUUAUGUAGAUUAAAAAUAUUUUAUAAUAUUAGAGGAGAAUAAAAAAAUUUAAGAAUAUUAAUGAUGAGUGUUUAUUAUAUAAUUUGUAUAUUUAUAAUUUUUUAUAAUUAAUAAAUUUUUUUAGCCUUAAACAUAAAUUAAAUAAGUUAAAUUUCGUUAAAUUAUUGUCUUUGAUUAAUUGUUUAGUUUUCUUCUGCAUUUAACUAUUUAAUUAAAUGGAGGUUUUUUUGCCUCACAACACGUGGGGCUAACGAUGGGAAAGGGCCAGAAUAUGUUUGGAUUUUCCACUCUCUAUAGACUCUUGUGUAUGUGAACCCUGGAAAAAGGGCUUCUAAACAAAUUAGUCGUUUCAUAUUAAAUGAUAAAUAAAUAAAUGAUAACUAAAUAAAUGUUUUGUCCUCGUCUCCCAUUUUUAAUGUUGUUUUCUUAAUUCUUUUGCUGACCUCCUUUUUAUGUUUUAUUUUUUACUUUAUUCAUAUAUUUUCCCUAGUUUUUUUUAUGUGGUUAAAAUUAAGGGUGUAAAUGAUACAUUAGUAUUCAUAAAUUAUUCGAGUUCGAUUCAAAAAAAAUUCGAAUUCUUAUUGUCGAGUUAAACUCUAGCUCGAGUAACUUGACUUAUCGAUCGAGUCGAAUUCGAGUAUUCUUAUAUCUGACUCGAGUAACUCGCGAGCCUAAUCGAGCUUUUAUAUUUAAAUAUAUUUUUAUUAUUUUAAUUAAUAAAAUAUUUCGAGUCCAAAUUCGAGUUCGAAUUCGAGCAUGAAUAAUUGAACUCUUGUCGAAUAUACGAAUCGAACUUAUUUUUACAUAUUAAUCGAGCGAGCUCGAAUAACUCGAAUAUCUCAAAUUCGAUCACGAAUCGAGUUCGAACUUAAAAAAUAAAACUUGAUCGAACUCGAAUCGAGUAUCGAACCCCAAAUUAUAAGUCGAGCUCGAACUCGAACUCGAACUUCUUAACUCGACUCGACUCUGGCAGUUGUUUCCUCUACAGUAUUUACAGACAUUUUUUAAUGUGAGAUUACUGUUCAAAGGUCACGUGCUAGUAUAUUUGAUCUCAAAUCAAAUAAAAACAAAAUUUAUUAAAAAUAAAAAUAUUUCUAGGAAAGCAUUAUUAGAGUAUUUUUGGGGAAGUAAGUUCGAUUUUUGUCAUAAAAAUUACAUAAUUGAAUUUGGACAAAAUUUAUGUUCCAGAUCAAUAAGGUCUCAACAUCCAUGAUCCAUUAAAACCCAACAGAGACUUGUUGCUUCGUCAAUGUUUUUCACCGCAUGGUUUCACAUUGUCAGUUUUCAACAUUUCUCACUUUCAAACAGAAGACUUUGACGACCAGAUAGUGUCGAAUAGUAGUAGUAAUGUCAACAUCUUUUAACAGGUGGCAGUAAUUUUUAUUACAACAUUUGUUUUAUCCUACGAGAAUUUUGUAGCCUGGCUAGCGGAGAUGAACCAAACAAGAUUCUAAAUCCUUUUCUUUCUCUUUCAUUUUGUUGAAUCCAAGAACCUUUAUUUAAUUGCAUGUCUUCUGGUUGAGUUGUUCCUUACAAUAUUUGGUUCUUCUGUUAUAUUAAAACCAGGAUAGUCAGGCCCGGCCACGGCCUGAAAAUUUUCACAAUUGGUUAAUUCUUUUCGUACCAUUAUGUGCUUACAUUGAUUUUCCCAAAAUCCGCUUUAAAUUUUGUUUUCCUUGUUUCGAAAUAGAAUUAAUAAAAGAUUGUGUUUAGAUGAGUCGGAAAUCAGUAAACACUGAAUCAUCAAUUAUUAUUGCUAAUCAAUCAGUAAAAAAAUAAAAGCCAAAUCCUCAAUUCCUCUUGACAACGGUAGAAUAAGAAGCCUAAAGGGAAUGCUGUUGGUCUGCUUAUAUUAAGUUACGAGUGGCCAGAAGCUUUGCAUCGACAAGAAUCAAGUCUUCGGUUUGAUUUUUCCAAGGUGGCUAGAACUUUCAACAUAAGAAGCUACCGGCCUUCAGCCAAAGUGUUCAACAAAAUUAUACUUCAGAAAAGCCGACCAAAAGACGUGUCUUAUACAUAUAGCUAGAACUAACAACAACACACUAAGUACGCGGUUCACCUUUGACGGUACUUUCUUUGCUCACCAUUCCAUUCUCUGCCUCUCUCCCUGCUUCUUUCUCUUCUUCUUUCUACUUUCCUCAUUCUGCAUUUUUGGUUCCCGUCCUUGCCAAAACGUUAGGUCUUUGGUCGGCCACCAUUCGAUCAGGAUAUGCCAAAAGCUUAUGCUUGUGGCCCUGCAUCCUCCUCAACCUACUCCCAUUGCUAUCUUCUUCAUAAUUCUUAGUUGUAUGGAUAUCUCUCGUUACCGUUACUAAUGAGGAUUUCACUCUUUUCAUGGGUUUUCUUGAAUUCUUUUAUAGCAGUUUUCUUUAGCAUCAAUGUAGUUUGCAUUUCUGCCCAAUGUUAAAGCGAUCAGAGACAGUUGUUGCUCGAAUUGAAAAGAAGCCUCAAUUCUACUUCAUUAGGAAAGCUGGUGAAGUGGUGUCACACCCCGGAUUGCUGUUCCUGGGAUGGUGUAAGCUGCGAUGAAGGUGGUCGGGUUAUCGGCCUUGACUUGAGCAACCAAUCAAUUUCAGGUGCAAUUGAGAAUUCAAGUAGUCUAUUCAGUCUUAAGCAUCUGCAGCGACUCGAUUUGUCUUACAACAGACUCAGCUCAGCUUUUCCUUCAGGGUUUGACAAGUUUGCAAAAUUGAGUUAUCUCAAUGUGUCAAAUGCUGGCUUUAAAGGGCAAAUUCCAGCGGAGAUUUCAAGCAUGACAAGAUUGGUUACUCUGGACUUAUCUGUAAGUUUAUUUCUUAGAAGACCCUUGAAACUUGAGAAGCCAAACCUAAAGACGCUCGUUCAAAAUCUCACGAGGCUAAGAUUUCUCCAUCUUGAUGGCGUAUAUAUAUCAGCAAGAGGAAAUGAGUGGUGUCAGGCCUUGUCCUCACUGACCAGUUUGGAAGUGUUGAGCAUGUCCAACUGUAAUCUUUCAGGACCCAUAGAUUCUUCCUUUUCGAAGCUUCGGUCUCUCACAGUAAUCCCCUUGGACAACAACAACUUGUCUGCUCCACUACCAAAAUUCUUUGCAGAAAUCCUAAAUUUAACUUCCCUUCGUCUUAGUGCCACUAGACUGCAUGGAAGACUUCCAGAAGAAAUCCUCCAAGCACCUACAUUACAGAUUCUUGAUUUGUCAAAAAACAAAUUACUCACAGGUUCGUUUCGAGACUUUUCUCUGAAUGCAUCUCUUCAGACAUUGGUGCUUAGUGACACAAAAUUUGGGGGACAAGUACCAGAAUCUAUUGGUAACCUUGGGCAAUUGACAAGGAUAGAGCUUGCACGUUGCAAUUUCAGUGGACCAACACCAGAUUCAAUCCUGAAACUUACACACCUUGUCUAUCUGGAUUUUUCAUCUAACAAUUUUUCUGGUCCAAUGCCAUCGUUCUCAUCAUCAAGAAAUCUUACACAGCAAAACCUUGCUCAUAAUCAGGUAAAGGGCACAAUUCAGUCCACUGAUUGGUCAGGGAUUUCUAAGCUAGUAAGUAUUGACUUACGAAACAACAAAUUCAAUGGAGCAAUCCCAACAACUUUAUUCCGCAUUCCUUCACUGCAGAAAAUUCUUCUUUCACAAAAUCAAUUCGGUGGUAACCUCCGGCUUGGUGACCUCCAUGGUGAGGCCUCUUUACUAGAUACUCUUGAUCUUAGUAGCAAUAAGUUACAAGGGCCACUUCCAGGGUCUGCAUUUGAACUUCAAGGUCUCAAGAUACUGUCACUUGCUUCAAACAACUUCAGUGGCUUUAUACCACUAAGUGCCAUUCAGAAUCUAAGAAAUCUUUCCAGCCUUGAUCUCUCCCAUAACCACUUGUCUAUUAAUGCCAGUGCAACUAGUCCUUCCUUACCUUCCUUCCCCAGCAUUACCUCAUUGAUGUUGGCUUCCUGCAACUUAAUGAAAUUCCCUAAUUUCUUGAAAAAUCAGGCUGGAUUAGUCUGUCUAGACCUUUCAAACAAAAAUAUCCAUGGGGAAAUACCCAAUUGGAUUUGGGAAGCCCGAAGUCUUCUUCACCUAAAUCUUUCUUAGGACAUUCUUGUAGAAUUCCAAGGACCUUUGCAGAAGUUAUGCAGAAUAUAACUUCUGCUCUUAGUGUUCUUGACCUUCACAGCAACCAGUUGCAAGGGAAAAUUGCAUUUUUUCCGCAAUAUGCCCCUUUCUGGAUUACUCAAACAACAAUUUCAGCUCCGAUUUACCAGCUGAGAUUGGUGACUACCUCAAUUUCGCUUAUUUCUUCUCUCUCUUGAGUAAUAAUUUUCAAGGGAGUAUCCCCUGGUCGAUAUGCAACAGUAUAUAUCUUCAAGUACUUGCUCUGUCUAAUAAUUCCCUGAUGAAAUCUGAAUGCUGAACAUUUCAGAGCUUAAGGGUGCUGAAUCUAAAGAACAUCUCAGGGUGUCAUUUCCGAUAAUUUCAAGAUAGUGGGUUACAAACUCUAGAUCUAAAUCAAACUUACUCAAGGAAAGUUCCAAAUCUUGGUCACUGCCUGCUGGAAAUUAGACUUUGAAAAAUCAGCAAUGAUACAUUCCCAUGUCAUUUGAAGAGUAUAUCAGUGCUUUCCUUUUUUACGAGCAUAUAAAUUUAAUGGGAAACAUCAUUGUCCUGAAAGACCUCCAGGCUAAUGCAUCAGAUAUUGACUUAGCUCCUGACAGUUUUAGUGUAGAUUGCAUCAAGAAUUCUUGUUGUUAAGGCAUGCAGGCUGUCGAAUUGAAGCCAAUCAAACUCAAAAUCUUAGUUUAAACUACAACUCAAUAUUCUAUAGGAUGCAAUAACAGUUACCAUCAAAGGCUUAGAGUUGAGCUGCUGAAGAGAUUAAAAUUUCACUCAUUGACAUUUAUGCAACAACUUUGAAGGGCCAAAUCAGAUGCGAAAAUUCAAAGACUUUAUUUCCUUAACUUUCAUAAGCUUUCCAGGGUUUGAUGGAUUUGCCUUGAAUCUCAGAAUCCCACAUCGAAAGUUAAGUAAGUUUGAAUUUGUCUUGUAUCCCACAUCGGGAGUUUAGUAAAGGUAUAAAGGGUUUCACCCUUAUAAAUAAGAUGUUUUGGUUUUAGUUUAGUAACCACAUAGAGUUAGACACCAAGAGAAUAGCUAAGUGAGUAGGCUAUUAAAGGGUGUAAUUAGUUUUGGGUUAAGUUUUGAGUAAGGAGUUUUAGGAGACUUUUCUCAUUCUAAAAGUCUCACAAUUGUAAAGAUUUAUUUGAUAGUGGAUUAAGUUGGAGUAGGCCAUUUUGAGUUGGGCCGAACCAAAUAUAUUUGUGUGUUCUUAUUCUUGAUUUGAACUUGUUAUUUUGUGUGUGGUUGCUGCGCGGAGGUAUUGUUGUUUUUCCCAACAAGUGGUAUCAGAGCGAGGUUCCAGGUUCGAGGUUUUAGGUUCGUGGGUCCAAGAGAUCGUGAAGCAGUGUUUGAAGAUGUCUGAAGAAGGUAUGUCUGGUAUGUCUAUGCCUAAGUUUGAGAUUCCGUUAUUUGAUGGAAAGAGUAAUUUUAUGUUAUGGCAAAGUACGAUUCAAGAUCUGUUAGUACAACAAGGAUUGGAUCAGGCAUUGGAGAGUAGUAAGCCUGAAGGAAUGUCUGAUGCUAAUUGGAAUAGGAUUCAGAAGAAGGCUGUUAGUACUAUUAGAUUGGCGUUAGCUCCAGAAAUAAAGUACAGUGUGUUGACUGAGAGUACUCCGAAGAGUUUGUGGGAUAAGCUUGAAGGUAUUUAUGCUUCGAAGUCGUUGACUAAUAGAUUAUGUUUAAAGAUGGAUCUGUAUUCUCUGAAGAUGGAAGAAGGUAUGAGUCUUCAUAAUCACCUGAAUGAAUUUAAUAAAUUGGUUUCUCAAUUGUUAGCGAUUUCUGUUGAUGAGUUAAAAGAUGAAGAGAAGGCUUUAAUUUUGCUGUCAUCUUUGCCCAAGUCUUAUAGGCCUUUAGUUCAGACUGUGUUGGUAGGCAGGUCUAUUUUGAAGUUGGAUGAUGUGACUGCCCUGUUGCGUGAGAAUGAAAGGUUUAUGGGAGCUCAGAACUCAUCACCUGGGGGGAGUACACUAGCUGUAGAGGGUUUUGAUCGAGGGAGGACUCAAAAGAGGAUUGAUGGAUCAAGAUGGAGAUCCAAGUCAAGAGACAGAGAUUACAGUGAUGUAGAAUAUUAUUAUUGUGGUGAGAAGGGACAUAUCCAAGUGCGCUGCAGGAAGCUGAGAAGGGAUAUGGCUGCUUUCAAAAGGGCGAAUGAUGAGAAGAAAUCAGAUGAAGAAAAGAGUGAUACUGCUGCUAUUUUGUCUGAUGAUGAUGAUGUUGUUUUGACAACUUAUGUGGAUGAGACCCAGACUUUGAAAAGUGACAAAGGUUGGGUUUUAGAUUCAGCUGCUACAGUUCAUGUUUGCAAUGAUAGGAGCUGCUUUGUGGAGUUGAAUGAGAAUGAAAAGUAUGGGGAUAUUGUGAUUGCUAACAAAGAAAAUGUGCAGAUUCAAGGCAUUGGGAGUGUUCGCCUUAAAUCUCACAAUGGUGUUAUUAGGACACUUCGUCAUGUAAGGUAUGUACCAAAUUGUCACUACAAUUUGAUUGCUUUGGGUGAGUUAGCUUCUCGAGGGUACACAUAUUAUGGUAGUAAUGAUUGGUUGAAAGUGUACAAGAAUGGUAGUGUGAUUCUACAAGGGAAUAGGGUCAAUCACUUGUACAUGUUUGAUGGAGGCUCAGUUGCUGGAAUGCCUGUGAUGAAAGAAAAGAAGAAAGGUAAGCAUGUUAGCUUUGCAGAUACUGUUGAAGUGUUUGGAGAUUCAAGUCAAGGGAGGAUUUGUUGGGAUUUGCCUUGAAUCUCAGAAUCCCACAUCGAAAGUUAAGUAAGUUUGAAUUUGUCUUGUAUCCCACAUCGGGAGUUUAGUAAAGGUAUAAAGGGUUUCACCCUUAUAAAUAAGAUGUUUUGGUUUUAGUUUAGUAACCCCAUAGAGUUAGACACCAAGAGAAUAGCUAAGUGAGUAGGCUAUUAAAGGGUGUAAUUAGUUUUGGGUUAAGUUUUGAGUAAGGAGUUUUAGGAGACUUUUCUCAUUCUAAAAGUCUCACAAUUGUAAAGAUUUAUUUGAUAGUGGAUUAAGUUGGAGUAGGCCAUUUUGAGUUGGGCCGAACCAAAUAUAUUUGUGUGUUCUUAUUCUUGAUUUGAGCUUGUUAUUUUGUGUGUGGUUGCUGCGCGGAGGUAUUGUUGUUUUUCCCAACACAGGGUCAAUCCCAUUAUUUUUAGGAAACCUGAGACAACUUGAGUCCUUGGACCUCUCAAGUAACAACUUUCAUGGUGAGAUCCCUCUCCAGCUGGUAAACCUCAAUUUCCUUGCAUUUCUAAAUGUCUCAAACAAUAAGUUAGUGGGAAGGAUCCCAACGACAACCCAGCUUCAAUCAUUUCAGAAGCUUCUUUGAAACAAUGCUGGAUUAUGUGGACCUCCUUUAAACACAGAAUGCCAAUUGCCACCAGCUACUAAAGACAGCUCUUCCGAUUGUGGACUAGGAGCCACAUCGACUGGAAUUUUAUAGCUGCUGAGACAGGUUUUUUUCUUUGGGUUUUGAAUUGUCAUUACACCACUAAUCUUUUGGAAGAGAAGGAGGAUAUGGUAUAUUAAGCGCAUUGAUCGUGCUUUUAUCACGCUUCUACCUUGGCUGGUUCUUGAAGUCAGAAAGCAGGGGAGGAGAGCUAACCGGAACAGAGGAGGAGGCUCUAGCAACAAUUGCAGGAAUUGAGUGAAAAGAAUUUUAGAUAUCUCCUUUAUUGUAUUUUCCAGUUUCUGGCUUCUGUUUCACCUAUAUGCUUUUUUUUUGCUGCUUCUCUUUCCACCCUUUGGUUUCCUUGUAAAAGUUUUGUCCUGGUUCUUUUGGAACAAAUUGAAUUAUUCCAAAAGAAAUGGGUUGCGUUCGAGCUAAGUUUUGUUCGAGGCUAGCAUUCUGUCGGUUUUAGGCAAAUAAAAGAUGCCUCCACUAGCUGAUCAUCCUUUCACGAUUGCAUUAAUGACAGAACGCUCAUCAGUUGGACAACUUAUCCAGUAUGACACUUGUGACAGAAGCUAAAAGUUAAUCUAAUACAUGCCUGAUAAUAAUCAGUUUCACCUGUUUGUGUUUUGUUUGAAGGUUUACUACAUAAUAAAAAUGAUUACUGAUUCCAAGGACUUAGAUUGGACCAUUCACCAGAACCUUAUCGCCUCUCCGCUGUGAAAAACUGACAUCUAUUUUGCGCUAUGUCAAAUCCGAAAUAACUUUUAUUCAGAGAACCCAUAAUCAUAAGAUGAAACUUUUGCUUAAAAUGUUUUUUUAGUAAUUCGUAGCACAGAUUUUUCCUCCACGCGAUAAGGGAAGAAGGGCUGAUAGAUUUCAGAAGGGACAUUAUUGCAAUGGUGGAGUAUCAAAUUAAACUCUGUUGUAGUAAACACAGAAGUAGUAGUCUCGCUUGUAAAUUUUGCAUUAGCAAGUAACAGUAUUGCUUUUCCAAUAAAUUGUCCUGAUUUCCAUACGUUACACCUUUCCCGAUCAAAAUCCUAAUUAAACUUUUUUUUUUUCUUUUUUUGGUUUCAAAGGGGACUAAAGUCCUAUUACAAAGGGGAGGGGGAAAGCUUGGUUCAAAAUCAAGACUUUAUGUUUUCCUAAAAGCUUACGUGACCACUAGGCCACGAAGCGGAAGACUAAUUGAACUUUUUUGUUCCUUAGUUUAUUUACUCUAAUGCAGUGCAAGAGUAGUAAAGAUUAGCGAGUGACUUUAUCUCGGCACCUCUGACUAUUUCAGUAUAAGGCUGAAGGAAUGCAUCUUCCCGAUGGUAAUGCCAUGCUCUCAUAUCAAUGUGCUUUUAUAUGGUAUUUAUUUCAGCAAACAACUUACCAGAAUUUCAAGCAUUUACAUAUGAUUUGCCAUGAUCUAAACGAUUACUUUAAAUUAUUUGAAUUGUUAAAUUUCUAACUCAGCUAGGCAAUUCAAAAUCUGGAUUCAUCCAUUUUUUAAUUUUUAAGGCUAUAAUUGGGGUUAUAAUUCGAGAUCUUCAGUCUUGAAACCGAGUAACACUAAGCUACCAUUUCAUUGUUGGUUCAUCCUAUUUAACUCUUGAAUUAUCAUACCAAUACCAUGCAGUAGUCCGAUAAGGUCAUUUAACGGAGGAUGUACUCCUCUAAUAAGUAUAGUCUUAAGCAUAGCAAGAAAGAGUGCGAAGUCAAUAAUUUAAGAUAUAGCAAGUGCCAAAGGUCUAUGGAAUUAAUUCAGGGUUCCGCCAAGACGUGGAAAAGCCCAGAAAAUGGACUGCUACUCUGAUAUGGACAUUCAACCAACCCUUGUAAUAGUGAUAGUGGCAUGGCUAGCAAUUUUCUUCUGCCGUUCCGCUGAUCAUGCUUGUCUUGCAGAAUAUAUUGCAGCAAUCGGUGCCAUAAUAAAGACGCUUUAUCCAAGGACCCAUGCAGAAUUUAGGUUAGUGGGCGCAAAAUUAUAACAUUGUUGAAGAAAACAGCUUAAGAUUCAAGAAAACUACAGAACAAAGAGGGGAACAUCAAGUUUCACAUGUAUUUCACCAGAAAGACGGAAGUAUUUCACAUGUAUUAGGACCAGCCAGUCUAGUAGGUGUGAAGAAACGCCGGUCUUGGUUGAGCAUUAAUUCUUAGAAAGGAAAGGCAUUUGUUCUAAUAGGGCAGUUGAAAUAUGAACAUAGAAGUCAUUUUCUUAGAAGACUCCGUGGAACUUUACCGAGCCUCCACUAUCUUCCCCAUUAAAGAGUCCUUUUCCACCAUUAAUCUGCCGCUUGAAUUUUUUGGUACGAUUCUCAACUUUCUUGUAUCUAUUAUCAAUAGCCGUUACAAUCCCAUCGAAAUAAUAUUCAUAAAGUAAAUGUUGAUAAAAAAAAUCUAAAAUUAAAUCCUAUUAAAAAUGAAAUUAAAAGUUUUUUAAUAAAAAAUUAAAUAUAUCUAAAUAAUUUCAAAUUCAUUACCUUGACUUAUAAUUUCCCUUUUACAAAAAUUUUUAGAUUUUAGAAUAAUUUGAAUAUUAAAAAUGAAAAUUAAAUCCGAAUAAAAAUUUUGAAACUACAAAUGCACUUUCCUCCCCUCCUUAGCUUGUUCGUUGCAUUACUCGUAGGCUUUGCUAACAUAAUCCAAAAUCACAAAUUUACCCAAAAAAAGAAAAAAACACCCAAACCAAAUUAUGAAUUUUUCGGCCGAAAACCAAAUUAUGAAUGGAAAAACAUUUAAAGCCGCCAGAGAACCUGGUUUGAUUUGGAGCAUAUAACUCCAAGACUCCAAGGACUCAAAGUCAAAAAGAACCGUUGUGAACGUAACAUCUAAAACCUAACGGGCAAUGACACUUGCUCAAAUUUAUUGGAGGAGGUCCAAACUCCGACGCAACCCUGGAAAAUGUGGGGCCGACGAUGGGCCUGACCGGGCAGAAAAUGUUUACAUUUUCCAUUAUCUCUGGACUCUAUGUGAACCCAAGAAAAAGGGGACCCAUCUUCAAACAAAUUAGUCGUUUCCUUGUCUUAUUAAAUGAUAAACAAAUGUUUUGGCCCAUUUUUAACAUUGUUUACUCACUUCUUUGUGCUUACCUUUUUUUUUUUUUUUUUAACUUUAUCCAUUUAUUUUCGUUAGUUUUCUUUGUGGGGUUAGGAUGGCGAGCUAGUGUUCAUCUCGCGGCAGCUGUUUCCUCUACAGUAAUUAGAGACCAUUUUUUAAUGCGAUGUUACUGUUGAAAAGUCAUGUGCUACUAUUCUCGAUCUCAAAUCAAAUAAGAACAGAAUUUAUUAAAAGAAAAAUAUUUCUAGGAAAGCAUUAUUAUAGACCAUUUUUUGAGAAGUAAAUUCGAUUUUAGUAAAAAAAAAAUUAAAUAAUUGAGUUUGGACAAAAUCUAUGUUCCACUCUAAUAAGGUCUCAAAAUCCAUGAUGAAUUAAAACCCAACAGAUUUGCGACUUAGUCAAUUUUUUUCACCUCAUAGUUUCACAUUGUUAGUCGAAUUUUCAACAUUUCUCACUUUCAAACAGAAGAGUGUGACGAUCAGAUCAUGUCGAAUUGUCCUAGUAAUGUCAACUUUCUUUAAUUGCCUGUUUUCUAGUUGAGUUGUUCCUUUCAAUAUUUGGUUCUUUUGUUAUUUUAAAAUAGAAAUAGUAAUAUGCUAGUACGUUAUUGGGGGUCUAAUUUUUUUUUAUUUAUAGUUAGUAAUGUUCUUGAUAAAUUUAAUAAAUCAAUAAUUAUAAUUUGAUUUAUAAUGUUUUAAUAAAAAUAAUAUUAACAAAAAUUUAUCAAUUAAUUUAUAGGUAAUAUAUAUUCAUUCUAUUAAUUUAUAUAAUAAAUCAAAUUCAUAUUUUUUCUUUCAAAUUUAUUUUAACAAAUAUAGUUCAAAUAUAUUAAAAUAAAUAAUUAAAAACUCAAACUUCAAAAAGGUCAAAAAAAAAAAAAAAAGGAAGAAAAGGAAAGAAAGCAAAAUAGGGGUGCCAAGUGGAUAUAUACAGUCAACAAUGGCAAUGGAUCAAAUAAGGUGAGUUUAUACUUGUCACAACUUUGACUUGACUAGGGAUGGUAACCCAAUCCAUCCUUGACAAAUUUCAAUCCCAUCCAUAACGUCAAUUAUUAUUUUUUUUAAAUUAAAUUUUAAAUCAGAUCGAAUAAUAGUAAUAAAAUAUUGAGAUUAGGUUUUAAGUAAAUCUGUCUCGAUAUAUAUAAAAAAUAUUUUUAAUUAAUUAUUUAAUUUUAAUUUUAUAUUUAUUUAUUUAUUUUUAUAUUUACAUUAAAAAAAUAUUUUAUAUUAAAAAAUAUUUUAUUAAUUUCAUGUCAUGUCAGAUCGAGUAAAAUUUUAUAUAAUAUCAGGUUGGUUUGGGUAUUAAAAAAAUUUAAAAAAAUUUGUUAGAUCGAAUUUGGGUAUUAUAAGCAUCAAGUUAAGUGUGGUUUGAAGCAAACAAAAAUCCACCCAAAUCCAUUACCAUCUAUAGACUUAGCAUUUUAUUAUUAUUUUUUACAUUUAAUCCUUGCCCAACAUAUAUAUAGAUGUAUAACUCGUAUUCAAUUCAACUUGACAAUAAAAUUUAAUAAUAUAAUAUUUAUGAAAAAUAUUAUUAUUAAUAUAAAUUAUGUUUUUAAUUAUAUAUAAAUAUAAUAUUUUAUCAAAUUAAGGUAUUAAAUAAUAAUUAUAUCAAUAUAAUACAUAUAUAUAAAUAUAAAAUUAAAUACAUAACAUAUAUUCUUAUAUAUACUUGUGAAGGGGAUGAGAUGGAACAUUCUAAAUCCAUCUCUGAUUUAACUUUGAUUUUCAAAAGGGAAAGUUACCUUACACUGAACCAAUUUUAUUUUAAAAUAAUUAUUUUUAUUGAAUCGACAAGUCAAAAUUCGUUGAAGAUGAGUUAUUUUACCAUUAUAACCUUUAUUGAUCUCAUUUCUUAUUAAAUUUGUCUUAUUAAAAAAUGUAAAAAAAAAAAACUCAAAUCAAGAUGCUACAUUGACACUUUAAUUGCUCAUUAUUUAUCUUUAGAAAUAUAAGUAAGAAAUGCUAAAAUAGGUAAUGAAAAAAAAACUAAAUAUAUAUAUAUAUAUAUAUACAACCGAAAAAAAAAAAAAAAACCAAAUGGAAGUAUCACUUUGGGAUGUCAAUGGAUAAGGUUUGAGGCAAGUAGAAUAUUUUCAUCCUUAUCUUUGAAAUUUUAUAAUAUAUUCAUCAUCAUAUCCAUACCCAAUAGGUAUUUUAAAUUUAUCCUCAUUCUAUCUUUGUUGAUAUUUAAUGAGUAUGGAUAAUCUCCAUACCUAUAGCUUUAAAAAAAAAAUAAAAACCAAAGCUUUUUUUUUAAAUUUUUAUCUUGUAUAUUUAUGUAUUUUUUUAUAAAUAUAUAUAUUAAUAUGAACUUUUAAAAUAAAAAUAUAUUAAUUCUAAUUAAUUUAAAAUAAUAAUUUAUAUUAUUUAAUAAAAAAUAUAUUUACUAAACAUAUAUAAAUAUAUGUAAGGUAUGGAACCAAUGCUGUAUUACCUAUCUUCAUCCUCAUCCUCAUCUCGUACCCUAUAAAAAUUUAAAAUUAUACACAUAUCCAUCCUUAUAAUUUAAUAUUCAUCCCAAUUCUGAUAAAAUAUCUAAUUCUCUAUUGAAUAUGGAUAAAAUUAACAUUCAUAAUAUCAUGCUGAUACCUCUAUUUAAGAAUGAGAACAUGUCAAGUUUGAGUUGAUUUUUGCUCAUCCCAACUCUUAACCAUUUUUUAAUAAUUCAAACCCACUUUGAUUUUGACUCGACAUCAAAUUAUUAUUUUUGUAUAGCUAAUCCCAAUCUUAUACAUAAAUUUAUAAACCACAUCUGACUUCUAUCAAUCCAAAAUUAAUUAAAUGAUUUAAAUGUAGUAUAAUAUCCAUAAAAAAAAUUUAAUAUAAAUUAUAUCUUAUAUAAAUAUAAUAUUUUUAUUAAAUUAAGAUAUUAAAUAAUAAUCUUAUUAAUAUAAUAUAUAUAUGAAUAUUUAAUUAAAAUAUAAAAUAAAAAUUAUAUUUUUAUAUAUAUCUUGGAUGAGGAAAAACACUUUAAAUCUACCUUUAACCAUACCUUUAUUUUCAAAAAAAAAAAACUUGACUUGGUCUUGAAUUUUUUUAAGAAAAGUACACCUAUUAGACCAAGUAGAAUUGAAAUUCAAAUGAUAUGCAUUGUUUUAUCAUCUUUAUCUAUAUUAACUUGUUUUUUUACAAAAUUAAUCUAAUUAAAAUAAGUAAAAAAAAGGCAUGACAAAAAAAAAGAAAAGAAAACCAAAUGGAGAUACCCCAUGAACACUUACAUCAGCCUCAUUUUUUUAAAAAUUUAUUUAUAGAUUUAAAAAAACAAAACUAAAAAAAAAUAAAAUUAAAAGAAGCAAAGGAUCGAAAAAAAAUUAUUAAUAUUAUUUUCUUACAAAAUUAUUUAAUUAAAAAAAGUACUAAAAGAAUUUUUAAUAAAAAAAAUCAAAUUAAUUCCAUACAAAAAUUAAAAAAAUGAAAUUAAAAAUAUUUAUUUAAUAUGAAAAUUAAAAAAUUAAAAAAAAGAUAAAAAGAUAAAGAAAAUUAAAAAAAAAAACAACAAAUAAAAAAAUGAAAAACUUAUUAAGUGCUAUGUGGCAUCCAAAUGAGUAAAAUUAAUAUAUAAGAUAAUUAGGCAUGGUCACAACUAAACUUAAUACUUUUAGAUACGAUACGAUAACAUAAUACAAAAACAACACAUGAUAAAUCGUAUAUAUUUUUUAUAAUCGUAUUUCGUAUCUUAAUUGUAUCGAUAUUUAGUACAUAACGUUACACGUGUCAUGUUUUAAAUGUAUUAUACAUUUAAGAUAUAAUUAAUUAAUUAAUUAAUUAAUCAUAUUUUAAUCGUGUUAUUGUAUAAACACAUAUAAAUAACAUAUUUGUAACACAUAUAAUAUUUUAUUAUAUUAUCAUUUUGAUUUAAUAUUAAAUUAUUGAUUAAAUAUUUUAAUUUUAAUCGUAUUUAAUUAUGUUAAUUAUAUAUAAUUAUAUUAAUUGUGUUGUGUUAUGUCAUAUUACUCAUUUUUAAAAUAAAUUAAAAUAUAUUUAUCAUAUCAUGUGACAUGCAACAUAUGUAAUAAAUAUAUCAUAUUUAUGUUUUAAUUAUUUAUAUCAUUUAAAUAUUUAUAUUACAUUCGUAUUAAUUAUUCAUAUCAUGUUUAAUUCAUCUGAGGGCUGAAAAUUUUAACAAUUGGAUAGCUCUUUUCGCACCAUUAUGUGCGAAAAUGAGUGAAGCCUGAAAAUAGUAUUUGGUUACUUUGACUAUCCCAAAAUCCGCUUUAAAUUUUGUUUCCCCUCUUUCAAAAUAGAAUUAAUAAAAAAAAAUGUUAAGAUUAGUUGGCAAUCAUCGAAGACUGAAGCAUCAAUUAUUGAAUACUAAUCAAUCAGUACAAAAUAAAAGCCAAAUCGUUUCCUCGUGGCAACAGUAUUUGACAACAUAGCAAUUAAAUGGUAAUAUAUAUUCUUAUAAAACAUUAAAAUUUAUGUAUUUUAUAUUAUAUUUUACAUAAAAAUUAUAUGUUAUGAUUUGUAUUAAUAUAAAAAUAUAAAAUAUAUCUUUUAAUUUAUUAAAUUAAUAUAAAUUUAUUAUUAAAAUUUUAAAUUAUAUUAUUUUUAUAUUUUAUAUUAUUCAUAUUAUAUUAUUAUGUUACAUUGAUGAGAUGUAAUAAAAAACCUAAUUGGAACAUAGUAGGUCACAUUAUAUUAAUUUAAGGGUGGCCAGGAGCUUUGCAUCAAAGGCUAUCAAGCGUUCGGUUUGAUUUCUCCAAGUCGGCGAAAACUUCAAACAUAAAGAAGCUACCAGCCUUUAGUCAAAGUCUCCAACAAAAUAAUGGAAAAGAAUAGCCGACCAAAAAACGCGUCUUAUGCAUACAACUAAAACUAACAACAACACACAAAGUACGCGGUUUACCUUUGGCGGUUCUUUCUUUGCUCACCAUUCGAUUCGCUGCCCCUCCCACUCCGUCUUUCCCCUCCUCAACCUACUCCCAUUGCUAUCUUCUUCAUAAUUCUUAGUUGUAUGGAAUACUCUCGUUACCGUUACUAAUGAGGAUUUCACUCUUUUCAUGGAUUUUCUUGAAUUCUUUUAUAGGCAGUUUUCAUUAGCAUCAAUGUAGUUUGCGUUUCUGCCCAAUGUCAAAGCGAUCAGAGACAGUUGUUGCUCAAAUUGAAAAGAAGCCUCAAUUCUACUUCAUUAGGAAAGCUGGUGAAGUGGAAUCACACCACGGAUUGCUGUUCUUGGGAUGGUGUAAGCUGCGAUGAAGGUGGUCGGGUUAUCGGCCUUAACUUGAGCAACCAAUCAAUUUCAGGUGCAAUUGAGAAUUCAAGUAGUCUAUUCAGUCUUAAGCAUCUGCAGCGACUCGAUUUGUCUUACAACAGACUCAGCUCAGCUUUUCCUUCAGGGUUUGACAAGUUUGCAAAUUUGAGUUAUCUUAAUUUGUCAAACGCAGGAUUUAAAGGUCAAAUUCCAGCUGAGAUUUCAAGCAUGACAAGGUUGGUUACUCUGGACUUAUCUGUAAGUUUAUUACUUGGAAGACCCUUGAAACUUGAGAAGCCAAACCUAAAGACGCUCGUUCAAAUCUCCCGAGGCUAAGAUUUCUCCAUCUUGAUGGCGUAUAUAUAUCAGCAAGAGGAAAUGAGUGGUGUCAGGCCUUGUCCUCACUGACCAGUUUGGAAGUGUUGAGCAUGUCCAACUGUAAUCUUUCAGGACCUAUAGAUUCUUCCUUUUCGAAGCUUCGGUCUCUCACAGUAAUCCGCUUGGACAACAACAACUUGUUUGCUCCACUUCCAAAAUUCUUUGCAGAAUUCUUAAAUUUAACUUCCCUUCGUCUUACUACUACUAGACUGCGUGGAAGACUCCCAGAAGAAAUCCUCCAAGCACCUACAUUACAGAUUCUUGAUUUGUCAAGCAACAAAUUGCUCUCAGGUUCGUUUCGAAACUUUUCUCUGAAUGCAUCUCUUCAGACCUUGGUACUUAGUGACACAAAAUUUGGGGGACAAGUACCAGAAUCUAUUGGUAACCUUGGGCAAUUGACAAGGAUAGAGCUUGCACGUUGCGAUUUCAGUGGACCAAUACCAGAUUCAAUCCUGAAACUUACAAACCUUGUCUAUCUGGAUUUUUCAUCCAACAAUUUUUCUGGUCCAAUGCCAUCAUUCUCAUCAUCAAGAAAUCUUACACAGCAAAACCUUGCUCAUAAUCAGUUAAAUGGCACAAUUCAGUCCACCGAUUGGUCAGGGCUUUCAAAGCUAGUAAGUAUUGACUUGCGAAACAACAAAUUCAGUGGAACAAUCCCAACAACUUUAUUCCGCAUUCCUUCACUGCAGAAAAUUCUUCUUUCACAAAAUCAAUUCGGUGGUAACCUCCGGCUUGGUGACCUCCAUGGUGAGGCCUAUUUACUAGAUACUCUUGAUCUUAGUAGCAAUAAGUUACAAGGGCCACUUCCGGAGUCUGUAUUUGAACUUCAAGGUCUCAAGAUACUGUCGCUUGCUUCAAACAGCUUCAGUGGCUUUAUACCGCUGAGUGCCAUUCAGAACCUGAGAAAUCUUUCCAGUCUUGAUCUCUCCCAUAACCGGUUGUCUAUUAAUGCCAGUGCUAUUAAUCCUUCCUUGCCUUCCUUCCCCAACAUUACCACAUUGAAGUUGGCUUCUUGCAACUUAAUGAAAUUCCCUGAUUUCUUGAAAGAUCAGAAUAGAUUAGUCUAUCUAGACCUUUCAAACAACAAUAUCCAUGGGGAAAUACCCAAAUGGAUUUGGGAAGCCAGAGGUCUUCUUCACCUAAAUCUUUCUCAGAACUUUCUUGUAGAAUUCGAAGGACCUUUGCAGAAUAUAACUUCUACUCUUAGUGUUCUUGACCUUCAUGGCAACCAGUUGCAAG
rnacentral:lncRNA from 1 species